rnacentral:lncRNA from 1 species
AAGAGUAAAAAGAAAUUCUAGUGCCAAGUGACACCCCAGAACAUUCAAAUCAUAAUCUUUAAAAGUUGGAGAAGGCCAGGGAUUUAGCUCAGUGGCACCAUGCCUGCACAAGGUCCUGAGUUCGAUCCCUGGUACUAGAAAAAAAAGCAAAGAGAAGAAAAAAAAAAGUAGGACAAGAAAAUGAAUAAAUAAAGGAUGAGGGCACCAGUAUACCAUUGAAAAAACAACUUUAUUGAGGUUUACUUUAUAUCUACUAAAAUUUGUCCAUUUAAAGUAUUCACUUUGAGAUAUUUGGACCCAUGUAAACAGUACUACAACCAACAUCUGAAACAUUUUCAUUACUGUAAUGGAAUGAAAGGCCAUUAGACUGUAUCCAUUUGCAGACUCACCCUACCUGGCAACCAUCAACUCACUUUUUAAAAAAAAUUAGCUCUGUUAUUGUUAGCAUUUCUUCUCAACAGUACUACAUGGAAUGCACUCUUUUGAGUACAUUUUGAGUAUUCAUUUCACUCAGCCUAAUGUUUUUGAGAUCUAGUCACAUGAUUUCAUGUCUCAGGAUUUAAUUUUUUAAAUUGCUGGGCAGUAUUUCAUUUAUGGAUGUACCACAGUUUGUUUAUCCAUCAAUCAGUAUUUUUAAAGUCUCUUCAGGUGACUCCAAUGUGUGAGCAAGGUUGAGAAGCCUUGCUGUAAGCCUGGGACUGUAAACUCACAAGACUAUGAUCCUAUAAAUUUAUCCUCUAAACAUAAUCCUGAUGACUUCAAUUACUGAGUGGGAAAGGCAGUAAGAUGAGUGCUAGGAUCCAGUCUAUGCCUUUGAAAAGAGAAUGCUCCUGGUCAUGUGCCUGCCUGUGGGUUGGGCAAUGAGAAGGAAAUGUAGCCAAUGAGAAAAUGUGGAGCAGACUGUAUAGCCAAUGAGAGGGCAGCACAGACAAUGAGAACACUACAACAUGCCUACCCCCCUGCUGUUCCAUUUCUCUCCAUCACCCUUCCCCUUUUCUCCAUCACCCUUCCCCUUUUCUCCAUCUGUCCCAAGAAUGCCCAAAGGUUUCUACCCUUAUCCUCCAGUUCUUCUUUUGGAGAACUGAUCAGCACCCUGCCAGCUGAGGCCAACAGAGUGGGUUCUGGUGGUCAAGGAUGUGAUACCUGGGCCCCAUCACCCUGUCAGCACCUUGUAGAUUUUCCAGGAGCACCUGCAUUGUGUUUAAAAUUGUAUGUUUGCAGUUGGCAUUGGACAAGGCUGAUUCCUCCCCUUAUAGAAGGCCUAUCAGCUGGAGGUGAUGAGGAGGCCUAGAUGCCGUCUCUUAGGGAAGGUGAGUCAGAAUGCAUGGGAGGAGGAGUGGGCCUUACAUGGAAGGUUUGCAAAGUUUCCAUCAGUGUGUGUUACCUGCCUGCCUGGACAGCUUCAGUGGAGCCUGCUUUUGAGGGUUUUAGCCCCUUUGCUGCCACUCAUGGUAAAGUUUUACUUUUAAGAAAACUAUAGCUUCAGGACACAGAGUUACUCAAGGUUACAAUGACUUUUUUCUUUCAGGAAACUCCAAAACAAACAAACAAAAUGCCUGCAAAGGGUCUUAGAGAUACAGUCAGCCUGUAAACCAGGUCUGUGUUUAGCCUGUAAAUUCAGCCUGCUUUUCCCCCCAGGCCUUCUUCAUCCUCCAGGAAGCAGCCCUGCAACCGACACUGGAACCAGAGCUCUAAACCUCAAGUGCAUCUAAUCCAGCCCACCAAGUGGGUAACCUGACGCACAGGAGGAGUACACAUCCCAGAUCUCCUGAGGACACACCCAAAACCACACAAACUCCUUCAACCCAGUCCAUAAUGCACCUCACUAUGGGCACCCACAUCCCCUCCUGAGUGUGGGCUUCUUCACUCUGCCCAAUAAACUUUUCUGUGCCUCUCCCUGUCAUAUCCUGUUGUUCUUUUCUGUAAGUCAAGAACUUUCAACCUACCCCACAGGUGAGGCGAACUGAGGUUCCCAUCUCUCUUGGAUGGUGGCCUUCCUUAGGCCCUGUCCAGUGACAGGAACAGGCCUUCCUGAUUCCUGUAUUUACUGCUAGGCAGUGUGAGCCAUUGGACAAGCUGUUGAUCUUCCUAAACGUAGUUUCCCUGUCUGUAAAAUGGGGGAUAACAGUAGAUUCUACCCCCUAACACUGUUUGGAGGGUUAAUGUUAUUAG